UACGGGGGGGGCAAGCGUUGUUCGGAAUUACUGGGCGUAAAGGGCGUGUAGGCGGCCAACUAAGUCCGACGUGAAAUCCCCAGGCUUAACCUGGGAACUGCGUCGGAUACUGGAUGGCUUGAAUCCGGGAGAGGGAUGCGGAAUUCCCGGUGUAGCGGUGAAAUGCGCAGAUAUCAGGAAGAACACCUAUGGCGAAGGCAGCUCUCUGGGACGGUACUGACGCUGAGACGCGAAAGCGUGGGGAGCGAACAGG
rnacentral:rRNA from 1 species